rnacentral:rRNA from 1 species
UACGGGAGGCAGCAGUGGGGAAUAUUGCACAAUGGGCGAAAGCCUGAUGCAGCUAUGCCGCGUGUAUGAAGAAGGCCUUAGGGUUGUAAAGUACUUUCAUCGGGGAGGAAAAAACAAAACUAAUAAUUUUAUUUCUUGACGUUACCCGAAAAAGAAGCACCGGCUAACUCCGUGCCAGCAGCCGCGGUAAUACGGAGGGUGCUAGCGUUAAUCAGAAUUACUGGGCGUAAAGAGCACGUAGGUGGUUUUUUUAAGUCAGAUGUGAAAUCCCUGGGCUUAACCUAGGAACUGCAUUUUGAAACUGAAAUACUAGAGUAUCGUAGGGGGAGGUAGAAUUCUAGGUGUAGCGGUGAAAUGCGUAGAUAUCUGGAGGAAUACCUGUGGCGAAAGCGGCCUCCUAAACGAAUACUGACACUGAGGUGCGAAAGCGUGGGGAGCAAACGAGGAUUAGAUACC